UUAAGUUAUUCCAAUGAGAUAUUAUUUGGUAAUGUCGGCACUCAGAUUUGGAUGAAAACUAUCGACCAUCGAUGGUGGUUCCUAGGGCAGAAAUCUAGCGGCAGAAAUAGGUCGUUCGUGGCGCCUCUCCAAUGAACACUCAUUGAUAUCCGACAGUUCGCCGGGGUAAUCUUUCUAUUUAGGCCACCGAAGAUGUUAGUCAUCUGCUAGUCACCGUGCAGAAAGAUAGACUGCAUGGUGGACUUCUUCCUUCUGACGAGUCAUCUCAUAUCAUAAAGAACUAUCAGGCUCUUCAUAAGCAAUGUGGACCUCAUAAUUAUUUUGUGCUUUUGAAAAGGGUCUAGAUCCAACACCAAAUGAGAUACAUUUUGCACGUCCAUACACAAGUCAAAAUCUUUUGUUGAUGAGCAUGCCCGAAUUGUCCAUGAAAUUUGGACGAGUUAGUGAUGCAAUUGAUUCCUACACUGACUGAUCACAUGCUUCAUGUAUUUAUUAAGCGGGCACGUGGACUGAUUUCUUCACCGUCACAUUAGCCAAAUACUCCUAUCAACAACCCAUCAGUUGUGACACUUAUGGUGCAUGCUACUACUAUAGCUAACAUCGACGAGAUUGAUCUUUUAGUUUCAGAUGAUGACUGUAGUACUUACCCGCCCAUUAGUUGUUUAUGGUUUUUUUUUUUUUUUUUUUUUUUUUUGGGAAGGACAAAAUUAUGUAGUAACAAUACUUGAUGGGUUCUUUUCAGUAGUUGAUAGAUGUUUGGUGUUGUGAAUGUUUUGGACUUAAUUAUACAUUUUGGAUUUUGCUAUCUGUUUUGAACCUUUUAUAAAUAUUAUUUUAUUUUUAA